AUAUUACAGUAUGUUGUGAGUCAAAAGUGUUUAGGUUUUUGCGUUUGGGUUGAAUACUAUUAUUAUUAUCUAUCGAUUGCUUGAGUGUCGCAAAUGUCUGUAUUUCUGAGUUGUUUAGAACGGAUGUACUAUCUUGUACGGUAAGUUUGUUUUGAGUAGUGCUUCAAUUUCGUGCUAAAAAAAAUGUGGUUGAACUAGUCCCCUUUAGUGCCCAUAGUUAUAUCCUACACGCUGUAUACGAUUUACUAAUUACUCUGUAUUAUUUCGAGUAGAUUGUAAAUUAGCAAUAAAGUUAAAAAAAAAUUAAAGAACUUAAUUUUAAUUUUACCUGUGAAAUAAAUUUUUACCUCUUAUAAAUAUAACUACAAAUUUGACUGAUAGUUUUAUACGGUUUGAAGUUAUCCAAGGACUAGGCGAAGGUGACUUCACUCCGAUCUUCACUUUCUAGUAUUGAGCAUAUAUUAGCGUUCUUCCAUGUUGGGAGCGGAAGGAGGUAUUGAAUAAAUUGUGCACAGCCACCACACCAGCACAGUCUAUGGUAAAAAAAAAAGAUGAGUCCUGAGGAGGCGUCGUAGUAUCUGCUCUUUAAUUUGUUUAUGGCUAACACUACUUCAUCUCUAAAACCAUUUUUUUUUUUGUUCCAUACAGCACCAUAUGUUUUAGCUAGGCCGCACGAGGUGUAUGCACAGUAUCAAAGAAUUUCGAAUGCUUUGAAAUUCCAUUAUAAUUGCUAAUACUGUUCUAACAUGUAAUGUUGCAGGUGUCGUAGCUGCAGUCGCCUUCAGAAACUUUACUUGUGACCAGUGCCAUAAAAAGUACAAAAAUCUUCCUUCUUUAACUGCUCAUAAGCAUUUGGACUGUGGAAAGGAUCGAAGUUUUCAAUGUUCAGUGUGUCCUUACAAAUCUAGACGCAAAUAUAAUGUAUCGUCAAAUUUUCUAUACAUUAUUCCGUUUUAAAUAAUAAACAUUUAUGACUUAAAACUCCAAUUUUAUGAACUCGUUCACUGAGUAUACGUUUUUAUAUGCAAGGAAUUAACGAAACAAUUUCCUGUAGUAAGCUCAAUAACAUGAAUGGACUAAAAAAAAUCUGGCCCUACAAUACUUUUGAUACGUUUUUACUGUACCUAAACGAAUUUUGGGAAUGUUAUGGGUCUUUGCUCAAGUGAUUAUCUUCUAUGUUAAAUAGGCGAGAAACAAAUGUUUAUGUCACUUUUAAUGUAUGAUUACCAAGUCGCAAUCUACGACCAUCAAUCCAAAAAUGUCCAAACACGUAAAGACAUUUGUGUUUUAGGCCAAGUAAUGGACGAGAUGUUUACUUGCGACACAUGUGGCAAACAAUACAAGUACUAUCGCAAUUUGUGGACUCACAAACGAUACGAGUGUAACCAAAUCGGACAGUUUAUUUGUCAGGACACGGGGCUCGCUAUCAAUGUAAAAGUUGUUUAAAAAGUUACAAGCAUGAUGGUUCGCUUUGGAGACACGAAAAAUAUGAAUGCGGAAAAACUGCUCAAUUUAUAUGCCAUAUUGGAAAUUGUACUUACGGGGCUAAGCAAAAAUCUAAUUUUAAAAAGCAUCUGAUUCGUAGUCACGCUGUUUAUAACGAUGCAAUUAUUUGAAACAAAUAUAGAAAAAAAAUUGUCUUUCUAAUGUAAGUCGCAAACGGCGGUUACCUCUCAUUUUUGCCUGUAGAUAACUGCAUCGGUAAGUAAGACGCCCUUUUUCCACUCAGUCGGUCUAACAGACGGUGCAGAAUAGAAGGUUUAAUUAUAAAGAACAUCACAUAAAAUUGAUAUAAUACGUAUGUUCUUGCAGCUACACCGAUUAGGAGGUUACUAGGUAGAAGUUGCUUCUCAUGUACGUUUUCCGCAUCUUCAAAGAGAAAAAUAUUCAACAGAAUACCAUCAACUCUCCGGGUUAUAUGUCUUGCAUGCUGUGUUUUCGCGUCAUACUGUAAAAAUUGCAACCAGAAGUGGAGACAUCAAAUGCUGCGUCAUACUCCACCAUUUUGCGGGGACUGCAACAUACUGAUGUUGUCGUAUUUCGUUAGGAGCGCUGGAAUAGAUGGUACCUACAGACCGAGGUUACUACCGUGUCAGAACUUACGGACGACAUCAGUUCGUGUGCAGAAGAUGUAACCUGGCGUAUAAGCAAAAGGGUCAUCUUUUAAGACACAUUCGCCUUUACUGUGAAAACCGUAUUAAGUUGAUGGAAAUAAUUAGAAAAAGUAGAUCAACGUAGUUUGUGCUCAUUAUCUGGCAAUGUCGGCGCAUACGAAAUUUGAACCAAAUAAACGGUCUGAUUGAAACCGUGCGGUCUGCAGUGGUUAAUGUAUUUUCUGGGGGACUAAUGAACUUCGUUCAAUUUUCGUAAGCCUCGCAUAGUGUACCUGAAUAUAAUAGGAAUGUUAAAUUUGAAUAUAACAUUUUGUUAUUAAAUACUGAACAUUGAAUACAUUGAAAUUGUGGCCCCAUUAAUAAUAUUGUCAAACGUUUAUAAAUUACCAAGAUUAAAUAAUUAGCAAUUAUUAAUAUAGAGCGAACCACAAUUAUUGAAAAUCUACCAGUUAACUCCAGCUUAUAAUUGUCAAAUUUAUCUGACAUCUCAACCGAAAAGGGGCCCGAGAAGUACGUAUAAACCACUAUUUUUGUUGCACAAUUAGAAGACUAGGGUAUCAUCUUUGUUUUUAAAAAAGGAAGCAGCGCGAUUGAGCGUUUUGUGCCUUCCGGUCUCAGGGGUUCACCGAAGCCCAAGAUUGGAUAUUGGUUUAUUGCCUAUAAGUUUUGAUGUAGUCGUCCAAUCAUGAAAUUCUGAUCGUUUUAGAUAAAGUCAAAAUGUACCGAAUUCGCGGAAAGGGACGUUGAGGUGCGUUCCUUUAGGCGCACCUCUUUAGGCGCGCGCAUUUAGAUGGCGACUAAUUAGGCACGGGCCCUUUUAGGCGCCGGGACAUUAGGCACGGGUACGGUUAGGCACUAAGGGCCGGUUUUACAAUUACACUUUUACGGAGAAUAAGAUAUUCCUGGAAUAACUGCCAUAGCAACAUGUAUGCCAAUGGUUGACACAAUGGUAACCAACGCAACCGUCGACAUUUAUUCUAGGUAUAGCUUAUUCUCGGUAUAUACCUUCAUUGUAGAAUUUGGGCCUAAAAUAGUUUCCUAUGCGAAUAGAAUUCUUUAAAGCAAAAAUUUAGCGGAACUACUGUCUGUCUAAAGUUGACGCGAAUUAAUAAAUUUUCUUGACAGAGAGCUGCCAGGGGCGUACUGUAAUAUUGUAUCAAAUUCAUAUUGAUUUAAACAAUUAAAUUGCAAUUUGACUAUAAGUCUACUAUCCAGUCUAAACCCACUCGCACGUCUACGACUGCAUGUUGUUGCAGUAAUCCAUGCAGGUAAGAGGGAAAAUCUAUUGUUUGGGAUGCCUUUAGGGUAAGUUUAUGUCAGUAUUGCGUUGGAGGCGACAAAUUUAGUGUGUUUUUUUCUAAAACUACAGAAAAGCGGUUUCAUAAAGAAAUACUAUUACCAUUUCACCAACGUAUAAUUGAUAACUUCUCGUCUAUUUUAGACAGACUGAACAUUAUGAAAGGCUAUUGAAAGUUGGAAAUCUGUAUUGGUAUAAUGCGAUUGUAAAAGGUGUAUAGACACUAAUAGCAGAUUAAAUAUUCUGGUCAUAAUGACAUAUUAAUAAAUUAAUAUAGUUCGUAAAAUGAAUGAUUUUGGGUUUCGGAUUAGCGCUUUGUUUAUGACCCUGACAGGUACUUAGGGCGGUCAACUAUGAACUACAACCGACGUUACGAAACUCAUAAACUCAGAUACAUACACCAAAAAGAGAUGCACAUAUACAAGUCACGUUACGAUUCGUACCGCCGGUAUCCUUAUAAAUACAAAGCAGUGUCGCUCGUGACGUGCCUUGUAUAUUGUGCAUCUCUUUUUGGUGUAUGUAUCUGAAUUUAAGAGUUUCGUAACGUCGGUUGUACUUCGUAGUUCAGAAGCACUAUUUCCAUCAAGUUUGUGGGCCAUGUAUGAUCGAGUUUUGUCAGAUACUACAAAUAAUUAUGCUGAAGCUGCUCAUCGGCGGAUGCAGACGGAGUUAGGAAUGGACCUCUGGAAAUUUAUAUAUAGGCUAAAGAAGAUACAGCAUGGCCGUGACUUAGCAAUUGCAGGGAGACAACCCGAUAAAAAAUUAAAUAAGUAUUUACGAGGUGAUCAAAAUAUUAAGAAUAUUGUUCAAGAUUUUAGAAAUAGAAAUAUUGUUGAUUAUCUUAAAUGUCUCACUCAUAAUUAUCAAAUGGACCCUGAUUUUUUAGUAUUAUACUA